UGGGGAAUAUUGCACAAUGGGCGCAAGCCUGAUGCAGCCAUGCCGCGUGUAUGAAGAAGGCCUUCGGGUUGUAAAGUACUUUCAGCGGGGAGGAAGGGAGUAAAGUUAAUACCUUUGCUCAUUGACGUUACCCGCAGAAGAAGCACCGGCUAACUCCGUGCCAGCAGCCGCGGUAAUACGGAGGGUGCAAGCGUUAAUCGGAAUUACUGGGCGUAAAGCGCACGCAGGCGGUUUGUUAAGUCAGAUGUGAAAUCCCCGGGCUCAACCUGGGAACUGCAUCUGAUACUGGCGAGCUUGAGUCUCGUAGAGGGGGGUAGAAUUCCAGGUGUAGCGAUGAAAUGCGUAGAGAUCUGGAGGAAUACCGGUGGCGAAGGCGGCCCCCUGGACGAAGACUGACGCUCAGGUGCGAAAGCGUGGGGAGCAAACAGG
rnacentral:rRNA from 1 species